AAAACCGAAGACGGCGAUUGCGCAACUAUUUUAUGAUAUUUCUUAAAUCUCGCGUUGUGUAGUUAUUUUCAUUUCGGAUCGGAUAACAAUAAUUACAAAUAUUAUGUCUGAAUUUGCAUACGGCCGCGAAUUGCACCACGCACGACGCGAACGAUAAAGUCAACGAUGUUUUACGUUUUCUUACGAGACGAGUAUAUGAAAAAAAAAAAAAAAUUAUAUAAAAAAUGACUAGGACGCGCGAGUCCUACAAUAUAGGACCCGGAGGGUAUUAUUUCGUCGCGUACACACAUAAAUACUCGGUCGCGGUCUUGUCAAAUGAACAAUGGACUUGGUUGAAAUCAUAAACGCGCCAUCGUAGCCACAAUAACAAAUCGUCGAUAACGGUUUCCGUAUAUUAUCAUCAUUACGGUUCGUUGCCGCAUGCAUA